UUUAUUCACAUUAUUCUAACAAUGUUUUUUUUAUUUACGACAUUUGUUUUUGAGUUGUAUAUUCUCUAAACCCAGCCCAAUUACUGUGCUGAUAAAUUCAUAGAUUUAAAUCAGUUCACCUCCAACGAAUUUCUAGAAAAGCGUUUUAUUUUUAAAUAGAUAUUUUUAUUUUUUGUAUAUAAAAUUUGUCAAGAGAAAUGUUUCUCCGGAUGAGGGAAGAAGGGCGCUGACCUGGCUCCUCACUCCGCGGGUGGGUUUUAUCUUGUAGAUCUGGGUGAAGCUAGUGAUUCUGCAGUGGAAGUGUGUCGGCUGUGUUUGCUAUCGGAAGUCUUUGCCGCGCGCUUAUCUGCCCAGUGAGAGCGGCUGCUGAGCUGUGGAAACAGCGGACUGUAACAUAAAGGCGUAUUUGUGCGGAUUAAGUACUGUUUGGGAGCGGUAAACCCAGGAGCAGGACGACUAGGCUCCCUCUCCUCCCCAGUGCCCCAGCAUGGCUUCAGCCGCUCCAUUAGCCUGUUUUAAUUCCGCUCAUCUCGCUCCGUUUCUCCUUCAGACAGUUAGCCUGAAGAACAGAGAGAGCGGAGGUGCAGCAGUGAAGUGGCCCGGGCGCGCUCUCCCGCGGUCUCCGAGCCAUUACAACACGGCUUCGGUAAUCCCCGUUAACUCUAAUCACCUCUAAUGUGGAGAGGAUUCAGCUAUGAUGGACCAUCAGGAAGCUGGGGGCUCUUUAUUAUUCCAGUUUGAGCUGCUGCUUAUUAGUGGAUUUUUUCUAAAUUAGUCAAAGGAAAGCCGGUAAAUAGGUUUCGUUAUAGAACAUAAAGUCGUUGUUGGUAUUUCUGAGUCAUUUGGGACUCAAGACAAUCUUGCCCCACAUUACUUUUUAAAUUUUAAAACCUGAUAACAAUAAUGACUUGAUGGUCAUUAUUACCUGAAUCAAACCUGCUUAAAAGAUUUGGUUUAACGCGUGUGGUCAAAUCGGCGUCGCAAAAAUGUGUUACAGUUUUUUCUUUUUUCUUUUCUUUUAUUUAUUUUUUUAGAGAAAAGGAAUUAAUGUUCAUAUCAAGUGUAACUGCACCGAGCAAAGCGAUUGUGGUUCCUAACGUUGAGGACGACAGGAUAUUUUGUAGCUUAGGCCCAUUUACUUUCACUGUAAAACCGAAUCAUGUGCUCACACUGUGUUCAACUGUGUUGCUCAGAGUUCUGAUUGAAACGUUUAAGGAGAACUGUGUGAACAUAAUUAAUGUGCAAUAAAAUCGUUUUAUUCAAAAGGAUUUUUGUGUGGACUUUUAAUAAUGAUUAAUCAAACAAUGAGAACCAGAUUACAAGUAGAGACUGAAAUGUAUUACCAGCUCUUUCACUGAGAUUUUCAUUACACUCUGCCGUUGUUAACCACCAGUAAUAAGAAAGAAAGAAAGAAAGAAAGAAAGAAAGAAAGAAAAAGAAUUUGGCAUGCACGUUUUCAAAUAAUAAGCCCACUUGGAGGCACACUGCACUACAUGGUUAAACAUCCAAAUUGUACCAGCACACUUUACUAAAGCAGGCGGACAUUCUUUAUUAUGAAGGAAAGGUGCUAAUUGGCUUUGCAUAGCAGCACUGAAACCUCCCUACUGGAAAAACCCACAGAAAAGAUUUGUUGUGAUAGUUUUCCAUUUACAACAUCUGAUUUCUAUAUAGCUGACCAAUAUAAUAUUCAAUACCUUUCCCAAACCACAGAGAAUGUAAAUUCCAUUUGAAGGUGACUGCAGGUCUAACAGAGUGAUAUCUCCUAUCACUUUGUCUGACCUCCUCAUUUAUUAAAUAAAUAGCUCUCAGUGUGUGAUUACAAGCAAACGUCACAUCUGAGGAGCACAUGAUUGUCUUUAUUUCAUACAGCCCAAAUUAAAGGCUUGAAUCCCACAUGCUUGUUUGAAAUGUACUUAAACAAAUGCUGUUGCCAUGUUUGUUCGUGUUUUGUUUUCCAUGUUUCUUCCUGUCUAAGUAUUUCCCCCUUGGUUCUGGAAGAGUUCACACGAUCAAGCAAGGCACCCAGCCAGCCACUUAUCCACACAGGAGACAGCAACGAGACGACUGCCACAGGGACACUCGCACAGACACUCUGACAACAGACAGCUUCAGAUUCCUUGGUAAAUAUUAGACCCCACAAUAUUUUGCACACAAGCAGAAUACGUGUGAAGCUUUGCACUGUACACCUCCCUGGCCACGCAGGCUUCUGAAACAAGAAUGCCUCAUUUCCACCACGUCUAUGAAAACACCAGACUCUCACUGUGCUCAGAUACGCUCAUGAUUUAGUCUCAUUUCAGCUUAUAUACAGCAGCAAGUGCCUGGUGAGAUCCUGCAGAUAAUGUUAACAGCAAGAUCAUCUAAAAGGUGUUUUGUGUGGAACAGUUUAAAAUGUCAUAAGGAUGUUCUCUGCUGGGGUUAAAAUGGCUUAAAAUGUCUUUAUGUGGUACCAGUUUGUAAACUGCAUAACAUGCAAUGUUUGGGGAAUGAGACAAACUGUAAAAUUUUUGGAAAAGCACUUGUUGUGAAUUGAUACAAAUUCAUCUCUUGAACACUGCUUUUCUUUUCAUUAUUACUAUUCUCUCUGCUAUCUCCUCAAAAUGCGACAUUCUUAAGAAAGAGAUUUCAAACUCUUCUGAGACUUGAGAUUCGCCUCUUGGGAGUGAGACACCCUCAGUGGAGACAGACUACCACUGCUGUGUCCACAAGUACAACUUGGAACAUAUACAUUUGGAUGCAGUCAUCGUAGCUGUAAUUUCCUUGGGUUUGAUCUCACUGAUGUGGAUGACACAAUAAAAGAAAUACUUGCAAUGCUA